UCUGUUUUAGGUACGAGUUGUUUUACUGUGUAUGGUAAACACGGGUACACGUGAAACAUCAAAGAUCCAUAUAAAACAGAUUAAGAUGGGGGCCAAAAACGUUGUAAAGGCGAUAUGGGGCAAUCCUUUUUUCUGGAAGGCAGCAAAGAGCUGGGGGGUAUUUAUUGUGGUAAUCCUGGUUGCCAAGGAGAUGUCAGCUGCUGAUGCGGCUAAUGUUGCAGAAAUCACAGGAAAUAUUGCUAAAACAAGCUGAUAAAUAUAAAUGAUGAAAAUUUCCAAGGAUUGAGAGAGAGGAUUGUGAUGCUUUAAGCUGAUCGAUGGAAAUUUAAAGUGACAUUUAACAUAGAAUGAGAAA